rnacentral:rRNA from 1 species
GUUGUAUGGUUAAGCGACCAAGCGUAUACGGUGGAUGCCUUGGCAGUCAGAGGCGAUGAAGGACGUAGUAACUUGCGAAAAGCGUUGGUGAGCUAGUAACAAGCAUUUGAGCCAGCGAUGUCCGAAUGGGGAAACCCGGCAGCAUAAGCUGUCAUCAAUACGUGAAUACAUAGCGUAUUGAGGCGAACGAGGGGAACUGAAACAUCUAAGUACCCUUAGGAAAAGAAAUCAACCGAGAUUCCCCAAGUAGCGGCGAGCGAACGGGGAUUAGCCCUUAAGUCUUUGGGGUGUUAGUGGAAUGUGUUGGAAAGCACAGCGGCACAGGGUGAUAGCCCCGUACACGUAAACUAACCAGAGAUGAAAUCGAGUAAGGCGGCACACGUGAUAUGUUGUCUGAAUAUGGGGGGGACCAUCCUCCAAGGCUAAAUACUCCUGACUGACCGAUAGUGAACCAGUACCGUGAGGGAAAGGCGAAAAGAACCCCUGUGAGGGGAGUGAAAUAGAACCUGAAACCGUAUACGUACAAGCAGUGGAAGCGGUACUUGAGACCGUGACUGCGUACCUUUUGUAUAAUGGGUCAGCGACUUACAUUUAGUAGCGAGGUUAAGCGAAUAGCGGAGCCGUAGGGAAACCGAGUGUUAACUGCGCGUAUAGUUGCUAGGUGUAGACCCGAAACCCGGUGAUCUAGCCAUGGGCAGGUUGAAGGUUGAGUAACAUCAACUGGAGGACCGAACCGACUAAUGUUGAAAAAUUAGCGGAUGACUUGUGGCUGGGGGUGAAAGGCCAAUCAAACCGGGAGAUAUCUGGUUCUCCUCGAAAGCUAUUUAGGUAGCGCCUCGGACGAACACCUUUGGGGGUAGAGCACUGUUAAGGCUAGGGGGGUCAUCCCGACUUACCAACCCUUUGCAAACUCCGAAUACCAAAGAGUGCUAUCCGGGAGACAGACGGCGGGUGCUAACGUCCGUCGUCAAAAGGGAAACAACCCAGACCGUCAGCUAAGGUCCCAAAGUAAUUGCUAAGUGGGAAACGAUGUGGGAAGGCUUAGACAGCUAGGAUGUUGGCUUAGAAGCAGCCAUCAUUUAAAGAAAGCGUAAUAGCUCACUAGUCGAGUCGGCCUGCGCGGAAGAUGUAACGGGGCUAAGCAAUUCACCGAAGCUACGGGUACUGAUGCUUGCAUCAGUGCGGUAGAGGAGCGUUCUGUAAGCCGUUGAAGGCGAAGGGGUAACCCACGCUGGAGGUAUCAGAAGUGCGAAUGCUGACAUGAGUAACGAUAAAGGGGGUGAAAAACCCCCUCGCCGAAAGACCAAGGGUUCCUGUCCAACGUUAAUCGGGGCAGGGUGAGUCGACCCCUAAGGCGAGGCUGAAAGGCGUAGUCGAUGGGAAACGGGUUAAUAUUCCCGUACUUCUGCUAACUGCGAUGGAGAGACGGAGAAGGCUAGGCCGGCGCGGCGUUGGUAGUCCGCGUUUAAGGUAGUAGGUGGUGUGCUUAGGCAAAUCCGGGCACACAUACACUGAGAGCUGACGACGAGUCCCUACGGGGAUGAAGUGGUUGAUGCCAUGCUUCCAGGAAAAUCUUCUAAGCUUCAGGUUAGCAGGAAUCGUACCCCAAACCGACACAGGUGGUCGGGUAGAGAAUACCAAGGCGCUUGAGAGAACUCGGCUGAAGGAACUAGGCAAAAUGGUACCGUAACUUCGGGAGAAGGUACGCUCCUGUUGGUGACGAGACUUGCUCUCUGAGCUGACGGGAGUCGCAGAUACCAGGUGGCUGCAACUGUUUAUCAAAAACACAGCACUGUGCAAAAUCGCAAGAUGACGUAUACGGUGUGACGCCUGCCCGGUGCCGGAAGGUUAAUUGAUUGGGUUAUCUUCGGAGAAGCUCAUGAUCGAAGCCCCGGUAAACGGCGGCCGUAACUAUAACGGUCCUAAGGUAGCGAAAUUCCUUGUCGGGUAAGUUCCGACCUGCACGAAUGGCGUAAUGAUGGCCACGCUGUCUCCAGCCGAGACUCAGUGAAGUUGAAAUUGCGGUGAAGAUGCCGUAUACCCGCGGCUAGACGGAAAGACCCCGUGAACCUUUACUAUAGCUUGGCACUGAACAUUGACCCUACAUGUGUAGGAUAGGUGGGAGACUAUGAAGAUGAGACGCCAGUCUUGUUGGAGUCAACCUUGAAAUACCACCCUUGUAGUGUUGAUGUUCUAACCUGGGCCCCUAAUCGGGGUUAGGGACAGUGCCUGGUGGGUAGUUUGACUGGGGCGGUCUCCUCCCAAAGAGUAACGGAGGAGCACGAAGGUUGGCUAAGUACGGUCGGACAUCGUACGGUUAGUGUAAUGGCAUAAGCCAGCUUAACUGCGAGACAGACACGUCGAGCAGGUGCGAAAGCAGGUCAUAGUGAUCCGGUGGUUCUGAAUGGAAGGGCCAUCGCUCAACGGAUAAAAGGUACUCCGGGGAUAACAGGCUGAUACCGCCCAAGAGUUCAUAUCGACGGCGGUGUUUGGCACCUCGAUGUCGGCUCAUCACAUCCUGGGGCUGAAGUCGGUCCCAAGGGUAUGGCUGUUCGCCAUUUAAAGUGGUACGCGAGCUGGGUUCAGAACGUCGUGAGACAGUUCGGUCCCUAUCUGCCGUGGGCGUUGGAUGAUUGAGGGGAGCUGCUCCUAGUACGAGAGGACCGGAGUGGACGAACCGCUGGUGUUCGGGUUGUCAUGCCAAUGGCAUUGCCCGGUAGCUACGUUCGGAAUCGAUAACCGCUGAAAGCAUCUAAGCGGGAAGCGAGCCCCAAGAUGAGUCAUCCCUAGGGCCUAGAGCCCUCUGAAGAGCCGUUCGAGACCAGGACGUUGAUAGGCAGGGUGUGUAAGCGUUGCGAGGCGUUGAGCUAACCUGUACUAAUGACUCGAGAGGCUUAACCAUACAACCCAGAUGGGUUUU